UUCCCAACCCAUUGAACAUGAAACUUCACUGCAAUCAAUGGUAUUCCAACUAGCGGCCCAUCCACCCUUCCCAGCAUCUGAUAAGGGUUGGGGUAAAGAAUUAGGCCAAGUACAAUCCUAAUAUACUAUUUUGGAGUCUAUUUAUUUGGCUACUUGAAUUUGUAAUAUUUUCAUUGUAUCUGGAGAUUGUAUUUUUU